rnacentral:rRNA from 1 species
AACGAACGCUGGCGGCAUGCCUAACACAUGCAAGUCGAACGAGACCUUCGGGUCUAGUGGCGCACGGGUGCGUAACGCGUGGGAGCCUGCCCUUAGGUUCGGAAUAACUCCCCGAAAGGGGUGCUAAUACCGGAUAAUGUCUUCGGACCAAAGAUUUAUCGCCUUUGGAUGGGCCCGCGUUGGAUUAGCUAGUUGGUAGGGUAAAAGCCUACCAAGGCGACGAUCCAUAGCUGGUCUGAGAGGAUGAUCAGUCACACUGGGACUGAGACACGGCCCAGACUCCUACGGGAGGCAGCAGUGGGGAAUAUUGGACGAUGGGCGAAAGCCUGAUACAGCAAUGCCGCGUGAGUGAUGAAGGCCUUAGGGUUGUAAAGCUCUUUUACCCGGGAUGAUAAUGACAGUACCGGGAGAAUAAGCUCCGGCUAACUCCGUG